CAGUAGCCGCGGUAAAACGAAGGGGGCUAGCGUUGCUCGGAAUGACUGGGCGUAAAGGGCGCGUAGGCGGAUUGUUUAGUUAGGCGUGAAAUUCCUGGGCUUAACCUGGGGACUGCGCUUAAUACAGGCAGUCUAGAGUGAGGAAGAGGGUUGUGGAAUUCCCAGUGUAGAGGUGAAAUUCGUAGAUAUUGGGAAGAACACCGGUGGCGAAGGCGGCAACCUGGUCCUUGACUGACGCUGAGGCGCGAAAGCGUGGGGAGCAAACAGGAUUAGAUACCCCCGUAGUCCCUGUCUCUUAUAC
rnacentral:rRNA from 1 species